UACGGAGGGGGCUAGCGUUGUUCGGAAUUACUGGGCGUAAAGCGUACGUAGGCGGCGAUUCAAGUCAGAGGUGAAAGCCCGGGGCUCAACCCCGGAACUGCCUUUGAAACUAGAUUGCUAGAAUCCUGGAGAGGUUAGUGGAAUUCCGAGUGUAGAGGUGAAAUUCGUAGAUAUUCGGAAGAACACCAGUGGCGAAGGCGACUAACUGGACAGGUAUUGACGCUGAGGUGCGAAAGCGUGGGGAGCAAACAGG
rnacentral:rRNA from 1 species